CGGCCCGGAUAGUUUUAGGUCACUAGUUGCGCUAACACCCCCAUUUUGAUGGUGAACGAAGCUGAGUUUUUGACCAAUGUUCAGCCACUUAUGACAAGCAGGAUCUCCUCGAUCUUGAUUCCAAGGCCAUGGUUGAGCGAAACUCGGGGAUGGCUGUGUGUGGGAUGUGGAUCAAUGCGCAGCGGGCUAGGCGGGCCUAGCAGGGCCAGCAUGUAGCAUGCGGAUGGAGUAGAUGAGGGGAAAGGGAGCGGUGGGCAAGCCCCAAAAAAGAGAUGCACCUGGCUUGCAUGUUCGAUAUGGGUUGUUAUUUGCUGUUUGCCAGUAUGCUAAUUGCAUGUACAGCGCUGUAGAUGGCCAGGACAUGCGAGUACUAGUACCCAUGUCAGUCACCAACUCAUCGAAUACGAGAUGUAGA
rnacentral:sRNA from 2 species